CAUGGGCGCCGGGAGGAGUUAUCCCGGUUUGCUGGAGCUUCCCGACGAUUUCCGUGUUUAUGGGUGGGAGUUAUCCCGAAACUUUCCGGGCUCGCCGGGAGGAGUUAUCCCGGUCUGGGUGGAAUAUCCCGGUUUCCAGACUCACCGGGAGGAGUUAUCCCGGUUUGCUGGAGCUUCCCAAAGCUUUCCAGACUCACCGGGAGGAGUUAUCCCGGUUUGGGUGGAGCAUCCCGGUUUCCAUGGGCACCGGGAGGAGUUAUCCCGGUCUGGCCGGAGCAUCCCGGAAUUUUCCACGCUCCCGCUCCGGCUGGAGCAUCCCGGUUUCCAGACUCACCCGCCGCAAUUAUCCCGGUUUGACCGGAGCAUCCCAAAGCUUUCCACGCUCCCGGUUUCUCCCAGACGUGCCGCGCUCCAACCUUUGGAUCCUCCGGGAGCGCCCUCCGCCACAUCAUCCCCGCUCCUGGAAUCCCUGGAAUCCCUGGAAUCCCGCGAUUCCCGGGCCCAGCCCGAUCCAGCCGUGCCUCAGCCCUCCGAGCCCCGCUCCCUCCGCCCGCCUGGAUGAUCCCGGCUGGCAAAUCCCAAAUCCCGCAUCCCAAAUCCCAAAUCCCGCAGAUCCUUGCCAGCUUCCCAGGCCCUUUUCCAGGCGGGAACGGAAGCGCAUCCCUCGGGAAUGCCGCGCAUGGAUGGAUGGGGCAGCGUUUCUUGCACUAAAUCCCGACCCAGCCCCGCCGCCGGUGCCGCUUCUCCCUCAUCCCAAAUUCCCAGCGGGAAAUUCCCGGCUCCAGCUCC
rnacentral:lncRNA from 13 species